rnacentral:rRNA from 1 species
GUCCACGCCGUAAACGAUGGACACUAGGCGUCGGGGGAGCGACCCUCCCGGUGCCGUCGCUAACGCAGUAAGUGUCCCGCCUGGGGAGUACGGCCGCAAGGCUGAAACUCAAAGGAAUUGACGGGGGCCCGGCACAAGCGGUGGAGCAUGUGGUUUAAUUCGAAGCAACGCGAAGAACCUUACCUGGGCUUGACAUGCUGGUGCAAGCCGGUGGAAACAUCGGCCCCUCUUCGGAGCGCCAGCACAGGUGCUGCAUGGCUGUCAU